GACGAACGCUGGCGGCGUGCUUAACACAUGCAAGUCGUACGGUAAGGCCCUUUCGGGGGUACACGAGUGGCGAACGGGUGCGUAACACGUGCGUAACCUGCCCACAACUUUGGGAUAACGCUAGGAAACUGGUGCCAAUGCUGGAUAUGUGCUACUGCUGCAUGGUGGGGGUUGGAAAGCUCCGGCGGUUGUGGCUGGACUCGCGGCCUAUCAGCUUGUUGGGGGGGUUGUGGACUACCAAGGCGGCGACGGGUAGCCGGCCUGAGAGGGUGACCGGCCAUACUGGGACUGAGAGACGGCCCAGGCACCUACGGGAGGCAGCAGGGGGGAAUAUUGCACAAGGGGCGCAAGCCGGAUGCAGCAGGGCCGCGUGUGGGAUGACGGUCUUCGGGUUGUAAACCGCUUUCAGCAGGGACGAAGCUUUUUGUGACGGUACCUGCAGAAGAAGCACCGGCUAACUACGUG
rnacentral:rRNA from 1 species